rnacentral:lncRNA from 1 species
GAGGAAAGCGGCGGCGGUGGCGGCUUCAACAGCAGCUCUUGCCCUUAAGGAACAAUGAAACACAAAGAUGGUGCAGACCCAGGCCCUGCUUUGACUGGGAGAAAGAUGCAUUCAGUUGACUAAAACUUGAACGGUCGGCUCCACCAGUGCAAGGAUUGUGCCUGUCCUCUUCCCGGGCUGAUCUUCCCCUGUGCCUGGAACAGCACCUGCUAUAUAAAUUAUGUGCUGGAUACACACACUCGAAAAGCAAGAGAUCAGGCUCCCUGAGAAAGGCAGUUUACUUCUAUAGAAGGGUGCACCCUCACAGAUGGACCAAUGUGUCAGGAGAAUUCAGUCACACCCAAAGCAGGAGAUGCGGGAGGCCAGAUGCGCAAGAUGGACACUCGGCUCCUCCUUCGUCCCCGCCUCUCCUCGCUUCCAGGGUAGCAGCCUCAACAAGGGAAACUAUUGUUCCAGUGGAGGCUGCGAGGAUGUCGGUGAUUUACGCGCCGAGCUGUAGCUGCAAAAGGACAAGGGCAAGUGCCGGCCCGACCUAGGGCCCACCGGUCUCUGGCUUGCUCUUGUGAGUAGGUGCACCCUGCCCGCUUGUGGUGGCCUCAGGGGUAAGAAAUCAGGACCCACCCAG